GAGCAGAGCAUAAACAUGUUGAAUGUGCCUCAGUGCUGUCUAAACCAGCCCAGAAUACUAACCAAGGAGCUGCAAUAGAGCUAAAAAUAACCACCUAAUCACCACUAGGAAGAAUUAACAAGGACUCAGAAGAAAAGAAAAUGCCUUAAUAUUCCAUUUCUCUACAGCUGGGCUCCAGCUGGUGCAAACGCAUCUUCCUAGCUUCCUUAGGACAGAGAAGUUCCCUCCCCUAACACACAGGCAUCUCAUUCUGGAAGCAUUUCUAGAGUCAUGCCCUGGGAUUGUAUUGAAAUGAGGCCUUCCUGGCAGUGAUGGUUUUGGGACUGGGAAGAAGGUGGAGCCCUGGUAAAAUGAAGUCUGCCUUGGAGGAGAGCAUGGGAGGAAACCAUGAAAGAGUUUGCUAC